GACGAACGCUGGCGGCGUGCUUAACACAUGCAAGUGGUGCGACGAACCAGGGCUUGCCCUGGGGCAAAGCCGCGAACGGGUGAGUAACACGUGAGUAACCUGCCCCGAUGACCGGGACAACCCGAGGAAACUCGGGCUAAUACCGGAUGUGGCGCACAGGCAUCAGCCUGUUCGCUAAAGGAAGCUUCGGCCUCCGCAUUGGGAGGGGCUCGCGGCCCAUUAGCUUGUUGGUGGGGAACGGCCUACCAAGGCAACGAUGGGUAGCUGGUCUGAGAGGACGAUCAGCCACACUGGGACUGAGACACGGCCCAGACUCCUACGGGAGGCAGCAGUGGGGAAUCUUGCGCAAUGCGCGAAAGCGUGACGCAGCAACGCCGCGUGGGGGAAGAAUGCCUUCGGGUU
rnacentral:rRNA from 1 species